rnacentral:lncRNA from 1 species
CGAAACCAAACUCAUGUAACAAGCUAUCUGAACUUAUAGUUUGUGAAACCAUAUCUAGUCUUGUUAUAAUCUAGGACUAAGAAGUGUGGAAUCCCACCUAAAAAGCCCAUCAAAGUGGGAGGCCUUUGAGGCAAGGAGUUCUACGCAAGUAUUGUCCUCGGAAAAUAUGAUCCACUACUGAAUGCAUUUGCUUGGUAAGUUCUAUACAAUUUUUCCACCUGUUUGCAAUAUACUAAUAGGAAGUCACAUUCAAGCCACAAAUUUCUCCACUCUUUACUGAAGGCAAUCUCUAUCGCCAAAAUAACACCAAAUAAUGUCUAUAUUUAAGGAAAAAACUACUUUAAAUUUUCACAUCACUUGCAUUAUGGUUGCCAUGUGGAUGAGAGAGAUGGGGACAAAGGGUACAAAGUGGUAAAAUAAGGAAAAAAGAAAAAGAUAAAAAAAUCUCGGUCUUUAAUUAAAAAAAUAAUAUAUCGAAUGGUUUAAUAUAUAUAUAUAUAUAUAUUUUGCAGUUCUUGUGUUCAUGCCAAAUAUCUUUUGGUAUUGCAUGCCAGAAUUCGUCUUAUUUAACUUUUUUUCCCCCACUUUUAAUUGCACCGUUUCUCUUAGUCUCUUCUCACGCAAGAGCCAAAACGAAAUUCUCCAAUUUUGUCUUUUGGCUUGGAGGGGGGACUGACAAAGUGCAUGGGGGAAAGCUCUGCUCGACAGUGGGAAGUUUUUUGGCAACAACUAAACCUAGGCAUGGAAAAAAGAAGCUGAUUUUGCUGUUUGUUGGCAAUUUUUAUUAGGCUUUUACUGAAUGUUUUAAUUUUUGUUGCUCUAUGAUUAUUCCUGGCUUGCCUGUAUCAACUGAUUCUUCAUGAUUAUGUGCCAACAAGAAGACAAUAUUAUAGAGAAAAGUGAGUGUAUCAACGAGUGCCCAUGACGGGUGUGAGAAAAGGGAGUGUGCACAUGACUGACAAGAUAGAAGAGUUGAAGAAUAUAAAGGGUAAUUUUGGAAUAAAGGUUAAUAAAAAAAAGGGGAGUGUAGAAAGUAAAGAGAGAGAGUGUGUAUUUAGCAUUUGCCUACUGUAAUUAGUUAAUCUUGGUUAGGGGCAUGGCCCAUAUGUCCGUGAAAAAACCCUGGAUGAUGCCUCUAAGCAUGUCAGAGACACUAGUUGACGGCAACAAUUUAAAAAAAAUAAAAUUUAAUAUUCCUAGCAAUAGGAAAAAAAAUGGAGCUUUGAGGAGGAGAAGAACAACUAGAUACACAACAACACCAACACAGAUCUCAAAUCAUGAACAAUUAAAAACGAAAAAAAAAUCUGGAGAGGGAAUGUCACCGUCUUCGAAGGAAUGAAGGAGUGACGUCCUCUUAGGCCCAUUUCCUCUCCUUAUUUGCGGGCACAAAUACGGAAUGGGAGUGGAGCGACGCGCAGAGGAGGAGGGGCACGCGGGUGUGGGCGAAGUGGGGAAAGAAAAAAAGGGAGAGAGGACAGAGGGUGGGGGCAGGGAAGGAAGGAAGGAAAAUAAAGAAAGGUCAAAGAGAGAACAUGGGUGAGGGGACGUGUAUAAGAAAAAUAAAAAAUAUAUAAUUAAUUAUUUAUUCUGUUUCUUUUACCUAUUUUAAAUAAAAAAAUAGAAGUUAGAAAAAAUUAACAACAUGACAAUAGUGAAAUAUGUAUAUCAAAUGAAGAUAUUUUCUUUAUUAUUAGUAUAGAUAAGCAAAAUUUGCAUAUACAAAAACUAUAAGGUUGACCUUGAUCUUGCAAUUGGAAAAGUGUGAUUGCUUCUAUGAGAUGAAUUCUUUAUUCGUUAUAUGCAAAAUUGGGUAGGUACCCUCUAAGAAUGAUCCUAACCCAUAAAUUGAAAAAGUGUGAUUGCCUCUAUGAGAUUAAUUCUUCAUUCAUCAUUUUCUAAAAUUGGGUAUAUAUAAAUCCUAUAAGGUUGAUGACCCCUGG